GGUGUAGCUCAGCUGGUAGAGCAGCGGUCUCCAAAACCGAAGGUCGUGAGUUCGAUCCUUACCACC
rnacentral:tRNA from 1 species